rnacentral:rRNA from 1 species
AUUGAACGCUGGCGGCGUGCCUAACACAUGCAAGUCGAGCGGCAGCGGGCCCGCAAGGGUGCCGGCGAGCGGCGGACGGGUGAGCAAUACAUAGGAAUCUGCCUCGGAGCGGGGGAUAGCCAGGGGAAACCCUGAUUAAUACCGCAUGAUGUCGAGAGACCAACGUGGGGGACCGUAAGGCCUCCCACUCUGAGAUGAGCCCAUGUCGGAUUAGCUAGGUGGCGGGGUAACGGCCCACCAAGGCGACGAUCCGUAGCUGGUCUGAGAGGACGAUCAGCCACACCGGAACUGAGACACGGUCCGGACUCCUACGGGAGGCAGCAGUGGGGAAUAUUGGACAAUGGGCGAAAGCCUGAUCCAGCGACGCCGCGUGGGUGAAGAAGGCCUUCGGGUUGUAAAGCCCUUUAAGCCGGGACGAAAAAAUCGGCGAUAACAUCGCCGGUCUUGACGGUACCGGAAGAAUAAGCACCGGCUAACUCUGUGCCAGCCGCCGCCGUAA